rnacentral:rRNA from 1 species
UGAGUAAUGUCUGGGAAACUGCCUGAUGGAGGGGGAUAACUACUGGAAACGGUAGCUAAUACCGCAUAACGUCGCAAGACCAAAGAGGGGGACCUUCGGGCCUCUUGCCAUCAGAUGUGCCCAGAUGGGAUUAGCUAGUAGGUGGGGUAAUGGCUCACCUAGGCGACGAUCCCUAGCUGGUCUGAGAGGAUGACCAGCCACACUGGAACUGAGACACGGUCCAGACUCCUACGGGAGGCAGCAGUGGGGAAUAUUGCACAAUGGGCGCAAGCCUGAUGCAGCCAUGCCGCGUGUGUGAAGAAGGCCUUCGGGUUGUAAAGCACUUUCAGCGAGGAGGAAGGCAUUAAGGUUAAUAACCUUGGUGAUUGACGUUACUCGCAGAAGAAGCACCGGCUAACUCCGUGCCAGCAGCCGCGGUAAUACGGAGGGUGCAAGCGUUAAUCGGAAUUACUGGGCGUAAAGCGCACGCAGGCGGUCUGUCAAGUCGGAUGUGAAAUCCCCGGG